rnacentral:rRNA from 1 species
AAGGAUCAUUACAGUUAUUACUUUCUACCAGCGCUUAACUGCGCGGUAGGAAAUAACCCAUACACACAGUGUUUUUUGUUAUUACAAGAACUAUUGCUUUGGCUUGGCGCAAGUUGGGCCAAAGAUUUACUAAACUUCAAUUUUUAAUUGAAUUGUUAUUUUAAUACAGUUGUCAAUUUGUUUGAUUAAAUUCAAAAUAAUCUUCAAAACUUUCAACAACGGAUCUCUUGGUUCUCGCAUCGAUGAAGAACGCAGCGAAAUGCGAUAAGUAAUAUGAAUUGCAGAUUUUCGUGAAUCAUCGAAUCUUUGAACGCACAUUGCGCUCUCUGGUAUUCCAGAGAGCAUGCCUGUUUGAGCGUCAUUUCUCUCUCAAACCCUUGGGUUUGGUAUUGAGUGAUACUCUUAGUCGGACUAGGCGUUUGCUUGAAAAGUAUUGGCAAGAGUGUACUGGAUAGUACUACUGGUUAUUCAAUGUAUUAGGUUCAUCCAACUCGUUGAACGACUGGGCGUAAGUUUCUGGUAGCAGGCUCGGCCUUACAACCAACAAACAAGUUUGACCUCAAAUCAGGUAAGAAUACCCGCUGAACUUAA